GUAGCGUGAAUUUCCGGUUCGGUGUAAUGCCGUUCCGGUUAGCCGCUAGUAGCGUGAAUUUCUGGUUCGGUGUAAUGCCGAUCUGGUUAGCCGCUAUCAAUGUUGCCUUUCCUGCUCAUAACCCUGUUCGUUGCGCACUGGUGCGACGACGUUAAUGAAACUUUGACCUCAAAUCAGGUAGGACUACCCGCUGAACUUAA
rnacentral:misc_RNA from 1 species